rnacentral:lncRNA from 1 species
CUCCAUAUUCAAGGAGAAGAUCUAGAUCCCGCUCAACUUAUAGAUCUCCUUCUCCUCUACGACGUAGAAUGCAUUCCCCCUACCGUCGUAGUUCACCCUCUUACCGUCGACGCAGAUCACCUUCUCCUGUGAAAAGACGCAGAUCGCCUUCUCCAAUGCGUCGACGUAGAUCUCCUUCACCAAUCCGUCGACGUAGAUCACCUUCUCCAGUGCGUCGACGCAGAUCACCCUCUCCUGUAAGGCGACAAAGGUCACCCUCUCCACUGCGACGUCGAUCUCCCAUCAUGCGGUAUAGAUCUCCACCUGUGCGCCGAAUGCCUCCAACCCAUCUACGGUCUAGAUCAGGAUCUCCCAUGCAAUCCACUUCUCCCAUA